GUGGACAAAAAAUCCAGGCCAGAAGGCACGUACCCCCGUCACAAGCAUGACCCCCCUCCUCCUCGCUGGCAGGCUCAGCAACGGCUCCGUCGCUAUCUGGAACCCGCCGCCGCCAUCGCCGCCGUGGCUGCCGCGGCCACCAUCACGUCCGAGAGGAGCGGCACGCCAGCUCGCAGCAGGUCUUCCUCGUCUCCAUCUCCAAGCCACGCGAGCGCCGGCAGUGGCACAGAGCUGGCAGAGAAGGUGCCGGUGGUGGGAUCUGCCGCGCGGGAGACGGCGGCGCGAUGCGGCCUUGCCAUACUCUUCGGCAUCAGUGAAAUCUGUUCUGCAAUCUAGGAGCAAGGCCAACUUCAGGAGCUGGUUGAAGUUGCACUAAGUUUAGCCACAAAGUAACAUCAGAACAAUCCACAAAGUAAUAUCAGAACAAUUGUCGUGGGCAACCUCUUACCGGAAGAAAAUUACAGUUUGGAUGAGGAUUUGUAGUCCAUAGGAUGAUCAGAUCCUGAUGGAUUGAGAAGACCAGGUUAUACCAUCCAUGACUACAUUCGGUUUGGAUCCCAAGAGGAGCACAGUUUCAGAGGAGUGUUUCUUUAUUGGAAGAGGACAAUUUUGGAGGAGCUGGUCAUGACUUAGAAACAAAACUCCCCUGAGAAGGCAUCGCUAGUAGGAUCUAUGGACAAGCCACUACCAAGCGAGCAUUGUUUGGUGAGGCGCGUAACAACAACCAGGCCAACGACCAGUAGAACUGCGGAUCAAUAGCUGCAGUGACAUAAGACUUUAGAAGUCACUGAAGAAUCUUGCUUCCCCUUUUUGUUAUGAUGGAGUUACUCUAAUAUAAUUCUGUUGAAUCCAUCACUUAUGUCAACUUUCCCCAUACUAUGUUUCUUUGUACUGAUGUGUUUGUUGCUGCAGCAAACUUGUUACAAUAUCCAGUUCCAUUUAAGUUUAUUCCGUUUGGGAAUGGUAGUCAGAAUCCAAGCUAUCCAGAGCUUAUCAACAAUAUUCUCAUGAAUGACUUUGAUGUCGUGGUAGGUGUGGCUCUAUUUGAUAUCACACAUGCAUGCAUAGCUUAGAAUUUUUUGAAUGAAUGACAGCCAAAAAUCCAUUAGAGCUGAAUGUAGAUUAAACCAAGAGGAAUAGCAGCGAGCUAUCUACCUGCUUACACAUAGAUUUUUGUGACUUGUUUAGUUCAUUUCUUGAAUUUGUAUGUCAAAAUUAUGCUCUUAUUGGAUGCAUUACCCUCUAAGCUUAGCUACAGGCACUUGUGUCUCUUGAAUUUAACCACCUAAAUGACCAUAACAAUAGGAAAUUAAUAAAGGUAAUGAGCUCUUAUAUGGAUCCUAAAUGGAUAAUUCAGUCAAGUAUGAGACAAGUUUUUAGCAUGGCACGAGCAACAGGUGCAGCAUAUCACUGAAAUUUUCAGAGCAUACUAUUAGAGCACCUUUUCGUUUGCAAAAGAAAUUUUGGCAUACAAAAUUGUCAGUUUUAUGCAUGUCAAACAACAAACAUUUUUGCAAGGACAACCAAAUAGUGAAUGUAGUUUGUUUACCAGAUUGCGUGCACUUCUAUUUGCAAGAUGAUUGAAGAUGCAGAGAAGGGUUUGAUCUCCACUACUAGGAAAAGGGCUAUAGAUAAUAUGGACACUAAUGGCGCACCACACAUGUGGGUGCGCCACUACUAUAUACUAAUGGCGCACCAUGUG